AAACCAGUGUCAUCGGCAACAUAAUUUACAGUAUAUGCAACAUUAGUUUGUGGAUCAACAAAAGAGAAGGUACCUCGAACUCGUAAGAAUUGACUAUCAGUUCCUCCUUCGAUCACUUCUGCAGAUUCCUGUUUAACUUGACCGUCGGAAAGUUGGAAACCAUAAUUAUAACCACCAAGUCCAACAUUGUCAGAAGGAGUUUCUUUAACAAGGACUAUUUCUUGAGGCGCAGCGGAAACAACGACAACCAGAACAAAAAUAACAACAAUCUAAAAGGAGGCAGGCUUCCAAAAUUCUUCAGUAAAGAUGUCGAAAUCAUCGAGUGGCAUUGGCCGGUUGGCGGUGGUAGAACGAUGACCGACAAAGGAAGAGGCGGUGAAUGUCAGGCAAGAAUUCAAGGAAGAGCGGCUCAGGAGCGAAAA
rnacentral:lncRNA from 1 species